AAGACAAGAAGUCAAAAAAGAAAAAGACAAAAAAGGUUCGUUGGAAUCAUACAAUACUCAGUAUUGUAUUUGUCACAUCUAUUAUUUACUCACAAUGUCAUUUUUCUUUCUUAU
rnacentral:ribozyme from 15 species